UUUAUAUGGACCGAUUUAAUCGAAAUAAAGACCCAAAUAGUGUUUAUGGGACAUCUAGGAGUGCCAACAAAGAAGAUGGUGAAAGGUAAUGAAUGUUUUCUAUUUUAUUGUGCGGUUUGUGUAACGCCGAAAUGCUAAUUAUUUUGUUUACGUCCCCUGUGGGUCUUUUGGGGUGUUACAUGCUAUCAGAUAAUAGCUUCUCAUGCUUUCGCCGAAAAGCAUUUUAAAAAUCUGACUUGUUGCCUGCAUUCACAACGAGUGUAGCUUUAAUUCGAUACCCUGCAUGUGUAUUUUAAUGAACUUUUGAGUUUUAACUAAUACUAUUAGCAUUUAGCGUAGCGCAUUUGCAUUUCCAGAGCUCUAGUUGGGACGCAAGCGUCCCGAGUAGAAGCAACAGGUUAAGUAAACAUAUCCGUAGACGAUGUUUAAAACUUAUGAUUAAUGAUUUGAGUCAAAGGGGAAUUAUCAUUAGGUUUUAGUUAUAGUUCACUUAUUGAGUUUCUGAUUCGAGGUAGCAUUAGUGAAUGAUAGUUAGGGAUGUGGUGUCACUUUUAGAGGCCUCCUGGGAUUAUAAUUUUGGGGGAGAGAGCAGCUUUAAACGACCAAAUUGAAAAAGGUCUGCAAAUUAUAUAUAUAUAUAAAACAACUGUUAGAACGAUUUGUUUUAGUGCAAGGAGAUUUUAAAGAGGCACGCUCACAUAUGGAACCUAAUGAGAUGUUUUUUUAUGGGUUUGAAUUAUACAGGUGACUAUUUCUAUUGUAAGGAUAAAAGGGAUCUUUAUGUCUAAUAUGGUAUGACCUUUUGACCUUAUCAUGACUGGCUUCUGGGGUCUGAUCAGCCCCAGGGGAGAGUCAUUUGUAUAAUGAAUGGAGUCAUAUUGAGUUACUAGUGUUAAGGUAAAUUCAUUAGAAAUGAAGCAGUUCUGGUUGAGGGUUUAGAAUUACUGUUUGAACCGCAAAUGAGAAAGUGGUUCAGGAUUCUGUCUUAUAACAUUAGCUGUGAGUUUUUUUUUUUUUUUGAAUGGGCUAUUAGGAAGUCUGUAUUGUAACAGAGAGAAAGUCAUGUUCAGCAUUGAGAAUAAAUAGGGGAAGAUAACAUAUUUUGAGCCAACAGGGCACGGAAGAAAUUGAGGUAUUUUUAUUUGAUUUUAACACCCGUGUACAGGAGUGUCAAAAGACGGGGGACAUUACCUGUGUAAUGGGGGAGGGUGUCCGUAUGGGGAUUACAUGAUAACCAACUUGGGACAGUUCUGGGACUGGAGAAGAGGAUAUCCUUAUGGCAUAGGGAAUCCCACAAAGGUGGAUAGGUUUUCCAUGAUAUGGGGGAAACCUGGGAGUACUGUUGAACUUUAUUAUUUGUUAUUAAUGUGAUGUGCUGCUUGCAUCAUACCGUGUUUUAAGUCUGUUACAGAUGUGGUGAAGGCUUCAGGCAUGAUGCCUUUGCUUGAUGCUCCAGUUGGAGAGGCUGAGGUGAAGCAUGCUUUGAGGGGAGGAUAAGACUGACUGAGGAUGACCCAUGUAUGUUUGUUCUCCCUGUCGUGAAGGGUGGCAUGGUGCCCACCUGGUGCUGGAUAAGAAUAGCUGAGAGGACCAGAUGGGUUAUAAGAAUGCUUUGUUCUGCUUUACUCUGUUUUACAGGACCAAAGUUUUAUUCCACACUUUGCAACACAUUAAAUCCAUGUUAUUGUCAGAUAGAAUACUGAGGGUCCCCAAGGAGAGGGCUUGUUAGUGUAGGAAGGAUUUUUAAUAUGGUUAGCAUUUAUUAGAUUAUAAGUUUUUAAAUAGUAUUAUAUUUAACAGGAAUAUAGGACAUCUAUGAGGAGUUAGGAUUAUUGUUAGGAUUAAGAUAGAUUGAUUAAGGAAUUUGGAGAAAAGCCGCUCAUAGACAUGUUUUUUUUUCUAAAAGAGGGUCCAUGGGUUUGUAGUUCCCAUGUAGUUCAAAUUUGGAAAACAUGAGAAACAUACAGAGGAGCCCUCCCCCGCACUGCAGAGACCUUGAAGGUUGGAGAGCAGAGAAGUUAGAGGGGGGGCCAGGAAGAGCAAAGAUAACAUCCUAAAUGGAAUUUCAGACAUAAGGAUAAUUCACUAAAUCUUAUCUAAGUCAUUGUAUAAGAAUAAGGCAAGGGGGAUGGGUAAAUAGUGUUCUAGAAUAGGAUGUGACCUACGGGAUAAUUAACUAAUAAAAAAAUAAAAAAUAAAUGUUAAUUGGUUUGAUGAAUAAGAAACUGUUUUAUUAACCAAACCUGUAUGGUCAAAAGUUUUAUGCCCAGCAGGAGAACUACAGAGGGAGGUGGCACACGAGAUUCAACCAGGAGACUGGAUCUGGAUCCAAUCACUAAAAAGAAAAAAAAACUGGAAGCAGCCUCGGUGGGAGGGACCAUUCCAAGUACUA